rnacentral:rRNA from 1 species
UGAGCUGUGAUGGGGAGAAGACAUUGUGUCUUCGAGUCGUUGAUUUCACACUGCCGAGAAAAGCCUCUAGAUAGAAAAUAGGUGCCCGUACCGCAAACCGACACAGGUAGUCAAGAUGAGAAUUCUAAGGUGAGCGAGCGAACUCUCGUUAAGGAACUCGGCAAAAUGACCCCGUAACUUCGGGAGAAGGGGUGCUCUUUAGGGUUAACGCCCAGAAGAGCCGCAGUGAAUAGGCCCAAGCGACUGUUUAUCAAAAACACAGGUCUCUGCUAAACCGUAAGGUGAUGUAUAGGGGCUGACGCCUGCCCGGUGCUGGAAGGUUAAGAGGAGUGGUUAGCUUCUGCGAAGCUACGAAUCGAAGCCCCAGUAAACGGCGGCCGUAACUAUAACGGUCCUAAGGUAGCGAAAUUCCUUGUCGGGUAAGUUCCGACCCGCACGAAAGGCGUAACGAUUUGGGCACUGUCUCAACGAGAGACUCGGUGAAAUCAUAGUACCUGUGAAGAUGCAGGUUACCCGCGACAGGACGGAAAGACCCCGUGGAGCUUUACUGUAGCCUGAUAUUGAAAUUCGGCACAGCUUGUACAGGAUAGGUAGGAGCCUUUGAAACGUGAGCGCUAGCUUACGUGGAGGCGCUGGUGGGAUACUACCCUAGCUGUGUUGGCUUUCUAACCCGCACCACUUAUCGUGGUGGGAGACAGUGUCAGGCGGGCAGUUUGACUGGGGCGGUCGCCUCCUAAAAGGUAACGGAGGCGCUCAAAGGUUCCCUCAGAAUGGUUGGAAAUCAUUCAUAGAGUGUAAAGGCAUAAGGGAGCUUGACUGCGAGACCUACAAGUCGAGCAGGGUCGAAAGACGGACUUAGUGAUCCGGUGGUUCCGCAUGGAAGGGCCAUCGCUCAACGGAUAAAAGCUACCCCGGGGAUAACAGGCUUAUCUCCCCCAAGAGUUCACAUCGACGGGGAGGUUUGGC